GAAAUGCGAUAAAUAAUAUGAAUUGCAGAAUUCAGCGAAUCAUCGAGUUUUUGAACGCACAUUGCGCCCUCUGGUAUUCCGGAGGGCAUGUCCGACCGAGCGUCGCGUCACCGCUCAGGCCCGCAUCCGGGCCUGGUGUUGGGGCGUGCGGGCGUCCUUUCGCCCGCAGCCCUCAAAUGCAGUGGCGGUCCCCUACCGUGGGCUUCCCCUAGUGCAGUAGAGCAUUUUUGCUGUCGCUUCGGGCCCUCUAGGAGACCUGCCGUCAAAACCCCCCAACUGGGCGGGCCCCCGGGCUCGUCCUUCUCCAGGUUGGCCUCGGGUCGGACAAGACUACCCGCUGAACUUAA
rnacentral:misc_RNA from 1 species